GUCAACGGAUCACCGCUUGUCCUUUUUUGGAUGACUUUUGGUAGGUGCUAACCACUGCAUACCAGGAACACCAUACUAGACCUGCCAUUUGGGAGAUGCUCUGACCCAGUUGUCGAGCCAUAACAAUUUGGGCCUUGUCAAAGUCACUCAGAUCCUUAUGCUUGCCCAUUUUUCCUGCUUUCAACACCUCAAUUUCGAGAAUUGACCGUUCACGUCCUGCCUAAUAUGUCCCACCCCUUGACAGGUGCCACUGUAAUGAGAUAAUCAAUGUUAUUAAGUUCACCUGUUAGUGGUUUUAAUGUUAUGGCUGAUAGGUGAAUAUAUGCAAUACACAUUUAAUCAUACAAUAUAAUGUUUCUGCUCUAGUUAUUACAGUUCAAUCAAAAUUAUUCAACCCUCACUGCAAAUCAGGUUUAUUGUCAAAAUUUACAGACUUCCAGCUGUUUGCGAUGAACAAAUCAAACAAAAGCAAUUCAAAUAGUUCAACACAAUGAUUGCUUCAAGUGGUUUAUCCCCAAAUUCACCUGAAAAUGCAACUUAUAAUGACUUCUCCAGUUUCAAAAUUACAACCCCCUGAAUAGAAUCCCUCACAACAGCACAAAUAUACAAAACAGGUGUUGUCUCAAGCACACAUGAUGCAAUUAAUCAAGGGCUUCAUUAGUUGCAAAAGUUGUGCUUGAGCUGGAACACAUGAAAUACCUGAACUGGCUAGGGGCACAAAAUAUAUGAAAUACCUGGACGGGGCAGAAAAAGGAAGCUAUCAACAGCUGCAAGCAGAUUUCUGAGAAGGCAGGUUGUGAAAAACCCUCGAGUGACUGCCAAAGACCUUCAGCAAGACUUGGUGCUAACAGGUGCUGAGGUUUCAGUGAGCACAGUAAUGCGCGUACUACAUGCAGAAGAUUUCCGUGCCAAAACUCCAAGACGUUCACCACUACUGACCCAACAGCACAAAAACGUCAGGUCAAAAUCAUAUAAAUAAGCCACAGAAGUUUUGGGAUUCUGUUCUGUGGAGCGAUGAAACAAAACUGGAACUUUUCGGCACGAUGGAUCAGCGGUAUGUCUGGAGGAAGAAGAAUGAAGAAAGAACGCUCUGUCCACAGUCAAGCAUGGUGGAGGCUCGGUGAUGCUCUGGGGCUGCUUUGCAUCCUCUGGCACUGGAAACCUGCCGCGUGUGGAAGGCAAGAUGGAUCCAUUGAAGUAUCGGGAAAUCCUAGGAGAAAACAUCAUGCCGUCUGUGAGGAAGCUGAAGCUUGGGCAUCAUUGGUCCUUCCAACAGGACAAUGAUCCCAAGCAUACCUCAAAUUCCACCAAGGCUUGGUUGCAGAAGAAGUCCUGGAAGAUUCUACAGGACCAUCACAGUCACCUGACUUGAAACCCAUAGAAAAUCUCUGGUGGGAUUUGAAGAAGGCGGUUGCAGCACGCAGUCCCAAGAAUAUUACAGAACUGGACUCCAUUGCUCAUGAGGAACAGGCUAAGGUUCCUCAGGAACGCUGCCAGAAACUGGUGUCUGGCUCUGCAUCUCGUUUGUAGCAGGUCACAUCAGCAAAAGGGUGCUCUACUGGAGAAAACAUUAUAAGUUGCAUUUUCAGUUGAAUUUGUGGAAACCACUUGAAGCAUUCGUCAUGUCGAACUAUUUCAAUAAACCUGAUUUGCAAUGAGGGUUGAGUCAUUUUGAUUGCAACUGUAAAUGCACAAUAAUUUAAUUUGUUUUUGUUUGUUCUUCCGAACAAACAAAAAUAGGCGAAAUAUACGUUCAAAAAUGUAUUAGUGAACCUGAUUACAGAUUUUUUUUUUAAAAAACAACAACCUUCCCUCACUUCACCUUGUGCUAAUCCAUGCAGCUUCUACUAAUUCCCCCAAAAGCCUUACAAAUUGCACCUGUUUAAUUCUUAAAGUGACAAUAACAAGAGCAUUAAGCACUAUUGCUGUCGUCGGCAAGUUAAUUUAUCCCUCUAAUAUGGAUUUGCUGAGCAAAGGAAAGCAAGAGACGAUUUGUCUCAUUUUGUAUAACGUAAACACAGUGUGGUCGUGUGUUUUUCUGUUCUGUGCACAUCUAUACCUCCUGGUUUUAGGGUGCCUUGGAUACAUAAACAGGUCUGGGUUUUUCACAAAACCCCAUGCAACCAAACGUAUUAAAUGACCCCCCCCCCCCCCCCCCCUCUUUUCUUUCUAAACAAUCUUCCUAGCAGAUCCUUUAUAUUUCCCUUUCUCCAUCAGAGGGCAGUAUUGAACUGUGAGAUUUGUACCCAUCCAAAAUCUCACCCAAAUGACUCUCCUUGCUCAGAAAUGAUAUUGUGGGGGGGGAGAGAAAAGAAACAUGUUUUCUCAGAUGUUGUCGGAGGCAUGAUAAUGUCUCGCAGUAAAGCUGUUGCACCUACCUGUCAUAACUAAAUAAGCAUCUUCCACAACAGAGGCAGAACAGGGCACGCUCCAUUCGUUUAGGCCAUUGCGAAGAUGUUUUCUUCACGAAACGUUGUUUGCUCGAAGAAGCCGUGGCUCCUCCCUGACACGCCGCACACUUUAAGCCUCGGAUGUGUGACUAGGCCAUGUUGAUGGUUCAUUACUCAACAUAAAUUCAGCAGUGCACGAAAUGAAGUGAAAGGUGAGUAAGCCAUGUUCACUUAUUUUAUGUAGACGAUGCCACUCUGUUGAUAACUACAGGCUCAGAUGUGUGGCUCGUUAUGAUUUAAAGGGAUUUGGAUCCCAGUGGGAAAAAAAAAAGUGUAGGUUUUGACUUGAACAGGUGAGUAACCCGGUUGUCACAAAAUAUCCGCUGAAGCUGAACGCACUAAGGUAGGAAAUGGCAAACGAUGUGAUUUAUUCAUUUUGCAACAAUUCCAUUUUUAUUCAUGAAAAGAAACAUACUUUUUUUCCCCAUCUGUUUAUUGUUAGUUUUUUUCUUCUUUUUCCUGAAGUUAAGAUGAGAUAAAAGUUCUCUUACAUUGCACUGACAUUGAACACAACUUCCUUCCAAACAUACCAAAUAAACGUCUCCUCCCAGAAAACUACACCAUAUCGACGAUUGCAUUUCACACCAUACAAGUCCCAGUGUAGGUUGUUACUGUAGAAACGAUAAUGUAUUAGAACUAAUGUCAGAGCCAAUGUGGUAGAAAAGUAAUCGACAUCAUCUGACCAAACAGAAUUGAGAAUUCAGUGGUGUAUGUAGUGUACGGGGUACAGGUGUGACCUUGCUAUAGAAUGAAUUCACUUGGAGAAAUUAUGAGUUUGGAUGCAAAUGAUUUUGUACACAUUACUGAUUACUAAUUAUAGUAAAGGAAGCGUUUGAAAUGUGUGUGUGAAUUUUUUGUUUUCUUUUUCAAACCACUGCACUCAAUUAUAGAUAAAUGCGACCAAUUCGUAAAUUCUUAAUUCAUAAACAUCUACACAUCUAGCCUGAGCUGAAAUCAGAGACGGUAAAUGAGACGGAUGGUCAUGUUUUCUAACAAUAAAAUCUGAUUGACAUAUUGCGCACAAGCCUAAAACUGACCUUAUGAUUGCAUUUCGCCUGGGUGCUAUGUCAACAUGGACUGAAGCUCAAAAUAUCCGAACACAAUUAACUAACAAUGCUCCAACGAGCCAAAAAAGGCUCGAAGCCGAAGGCCUCUCAAAAUCAAUUUAGUCAAUGUAGCCGUACACAAAGUAAAGCCAUGUCAGCUUUUUGAGCCGCACGCUCGAUAGAUAGAAAAAUAAUUCUGUUAUGUCUAAUAGUGCUCCUCUAAAUGACUAUAGGCAUUUACUUUGAAGCAACGCGUCGACGGGCCGAUGUGCGAGAGCUUACUUCUUUUCUUCUUCUGAUGAAGACUUCCAUCAAACUCAACUCAACACUACUUCUUCCAUGAAACAAAGAAGGGGCGCAUGGAUGUGUCCUGACGUCCAAUGAAGCUGUAACUGACAAGAUUGCGAUAAGGGUGGAUUAGCAAGAUGAGAGCUGCCAAGUCGAAUCAACUUCCUGGGAUGCAUCAUGCAGGUUUGGAGAGAGGGAUUAGGGACUCAGUCGCCCUUUAAGGUGGAUCAGCGUAAGCCCAAGCCCUAUUCAGUCCAAUUUGGACUAAUGACCAAAGAAUCCUUUUACAUUGCGUGAUUUUUGUUUUUUGUUCGAAAGCGCACUCCACCACCAUAAUCAAAACACCACUUGAGGGAAUAUAUUUUGGAAGAAUCCUGUUCAUCACUCCAGUACAGAUCUAGAGACUUGUAGAAUCAAUGCCAAGCUGUUCUGCUGGCCCAACCGCUUACUAAGAUGCUUCAUGUUGUCUUUUCCUUUAAUUUGUCGAUAAUUAAUUGGUACAUUUUAAAUGACACUAGUGAAUUGCCCCCAUUUAUAACGCAAUUGGAAUUUAUUACUUGCACUUUAGUUGAGGGAAUAGAAGCCUGCGAAUAGCUCUUUGUUUACAUUGGGCUCAUCAGUUUAAUUUUCACCUUUAUAUUCUAAUCAGUGCUCAGCUCAAAUAACUGCUCUGUACAAAAUAAACAUCGUCCCCUACUGAAACAGUCAGAUCCACUCUAAAUCUCAGGAGCACAGUCAAACAUCCAUAACAAGUGAGAACAUACUGCGUAGGCUCUGCUCUGGCGUAGUGGAGGUGUGCGUGGGUGUAAGUGAGCCAGGAGAGGGGAAAGGAGCUGUACACACGUACACUGGAGAAAACACCAUGCUUACUUUCUCAGCAAGUGCUAAUCAGGUAGAACAGAAAUGAG
ensembl:lncRNA